AUGGCUCAGAUUGAACGCUGGCGGCAGGCCUAACACAUGCAAGUCGAGCGGUAGAGAGAAGCUUGCUUCUCUUGAGAGCGGCGGACGGGUGAGUAAUGCCUAGGAAUCUGCCUGGUAGUGGGGGAUAACGUUCGGAAACGAACGCUAAUACCGCAUACGUCCUACGGGAGAAAGCAGGGGACCUUCGGGCCUUGCGCUAUCAGAUGAGCCUAGGUCGGAUUAGCUAGUUGGUGAGGUAAUGGCUCACCAAGGCGACGAUCCGUAACUGGUCUGAGAGGAUGAUCAGUCACACUGGAACUGAGACACGGUCCAGACUCCUACGGGAGGCAGCAGUGGGGAAUAUUGGACAAUGGGCGAAAGCCUGAUCCAGCCAUGCCGCGUGUGUGAAGAAGGUCUUCGGAUUGUAAAGCACUUUAAGUUGGGAGGAAGGGCAGUUACCUAAUACGUGAUUGUUUUGACGUUACCGACAGAAUAAGCACCGGCUAACUCUGUGCCAGCAG
rnacentral:rRNA from 1 species